rnacentral:rRNA from 1 species
GACGAACGCUGGCGGCGUGCCUAAUACAUGCAAGUUGAGCGAUGAAGAUUGGUGCUUGCACCAAUUUGAAGAGCAGCGAACGGGUGAGUAACGCGUGGGGAAUCUGCCUUUGAGCGGGGGACAACAUUUGGAAACGAAUGCUAAUACCGCAUAACAACUUUAAACAUAAGUUUUAAGUUUGAAAGAUGCAAUUGCAUCACUCAAAGAUGAUCCCGCGUUGUAUUAGCUAGUUGGUGAGGUAAAGGCUCACCAAGGCGAUGAUACAUAGCCGACCUGAGAGGGUGAUCGGCCACAUUGGGACUGAGAAACGGCCCAAACUCCUACGGGAGGCAGCAGUAGGGAAUCUUCGGCAAAGGACGAAAGUCUGACCGAGCAACGCCGCGUGAGUGAAGAAGGUUUUCGGAUCGUAAAACUCUGUUGGUAGAGAAGAACGUUGGUGAGAGUGGAAAGCUCAUCAAGUGACGGUAAAUACCCAGAAAGGGACGGCUAACUACGU